AGUGUGUCUCUGCGGAGGGGAGACAGAGGAAAGAGAAGCAACGUCAGAACGGGGCUAACCCGGACGCGCGGCUCAGACAAGGACGAUGUUGGCGGCACGUUUCACUCACUGAAGGUCCUGGUGGUCCCUGGAGACCAGGAUGUCCACGAAGACCCUUCAUUCCAUAGUCUCCCCUGUCUCCACCAACUCCCUUCUCACCACGGGGUCCAGCGGGUCCCUAGAAAACAUGCAAGUACGUGGUGUUAGACAUUAUUGCCCUUUAGUUUUUACUUUAAGAAUCCUCAUGGUAGUGUUACGUCUUGACGGUAGCUCUACUUACAGCGGCACCUCUAGCUCCAGCGAGUCCGGCAGGUCCAGAAGGUCCAGCGAAGCCCUGUAGUAUUAACAGAGUGAAUAAAUGGUUGGCACAAAACGAGUUAGGUGCCGUUUGUAAUAUGCGAGCCUAUCUGUAGAAACAUACAGAGUCUCCACGGUUUCCAGGUCUUCCAACAGAUCCACUGGGGCCAGCGGGUCCGGGGGUACCGGCAAGUCCCAAAGCACCAGCGGGACCAGGGUCACCACGGUCUCCCUAAGCACAGCAGGAGCAGGAGUAGGUAGGUGAGGACCAGAAUACUAAGUAGGAAUCAUUUUUCAUUUCUGUACGUUGUCCUUGUAGUACCUUGAUUCCAGGAGCACCAGCACGGCCAGGAGGACCAUCGUUACCAGUGUUACCCUGUAACGCAAGGUAAAGUUUCAAACCCAAGACCCUUUCUCAUCACUUCAUUACUAGUGUCUGUUUUUAUCAUUUAAGUAUACAAUGAUGAUGAUGAUGAUGCUACUGGAUCAUAGUACCUCACGUCCAGCUUCUCCCUGAGGUCCGGUCAUACCAGGCAUGCCAAUGUUGCCAGCGGGGCCACGGGCACCAGCGGGACCAGCAGGUCCAAUUCUACCAGGCUCUCCCUUGGAGGUGACAACAUCAUCAACGAUUAAUAAUGGAGACAUUUGUCAAAUGAAAUGAGUCACGUGUUGUUGCUGAUGUUCAAUGAAAGAUGGAUCGUCAGAAAACGUCCAUACUCACAACAGCACCGGGACCACCGGGAAUACCGCGAUCGCCUCUAGCGCCAGGAAGACCAACAAAUCCUUGAAGACCAAGAGGUCCAGAAGUUCCAGGAGUACCAG